AUUGUGAAGCCGCGAAUGGCUCAUUAUAACAGCCAUUGUUUACUGGAUAUUCUUUACUACAUGGAUAACUGUGGUAAUUCUACAGCUAAUACACGCCUCAAAGCCUCGACUUUAUGAAGAGGUGCGUUUGUUACUUCAAACCAAUCGGACUUGUCCGAUCUCAAGUGAUAUUGAACAAUUUAGCUGAUCGAACGGUCUAUGAACCGACGACAUAUCCUUCAAACGUCUGCCUUAUCAACUUUCGAUGGUAGAGUAUACGUUUACCAUGGUUGUAACGGGUAACGGAGAAUCAGGGUUUGAUUCCGGAGAGGGAGCCUGAGAAAUGGCUACCACAUCCAAGGAAGGCAGCAGGCACGCAAAUUACCCACUCCCGGCACGGGGAGGUAGUGACAAGAAAUAACAAGCAGGUCUCUAUGAGUUCCUGAUUUGUAAUGGGAACAUCCUAAACAACUUAUCGAGGAUCAAUUGGAGGGCAAGUCUGGUGCCAGCAGCCGCGGUAAUUCCAGCUCCAAUAGCGUAUAUAAAAGUUGUUGC
rnacentral:rRNA from 1 species